UCGGGAGGGAUCAGCCAAUCGUGAAAAAGAAAAUGGACUACUUUAAAAUGGAGAUUGCCUCAAUUCACUUAAUUCACACGACAUGUCACUUCCGGCUGAAUGAAAAUGAGGACCAGGGUGCGAAACAGAGGCCGGAAACCUAGGCAACAUAGUCAAAAGUCAUACUGCUGUGUCCCUGGAUGUAACUCCUACAAAAGGAGGAAGUCAUGCAGAGAAUUAACUUUUCACAGUUUCUCCAAAGACUGUGCAAUCCGACGCCAAUGAGUGGUGAAAAUAAAGUGAGUAGUCAGGCCAAGUUAAGAUUUUUGCUAGUUAGCUUAGCUAGUUAGCUAGCUAUCUACUGGCCAGCCAGGCUAACAACACAGCCACCAGUUAGUUGAGAAAUUCUAACAUUAGUUAACUUAGUACCUAUUUUUGCAUCUCUAACCAAUAUAGCAAGUUCUAAUGCUUGAUAACUAAACUGGAUCAAUAUUUCCCUACAGAGUUAAUUGACAACAACCAAAGUGUGUUCAAAACACUGUUGUGGACUCCUUUUUAAAGACCAUAAGUGGGAAACGGAUGCUAAAGGUGCAGGUUGUGCCGACUGUGUUCACCUGGAUGUCCACCCCAAAACCUGGCAGGAAGACCAUCAUCAGAAAAGCUGCAGGUGAGGCUGCGCGUCAUGGAAAGGAUGCACCUGCUGAGGAGCCAGAUGAGCUAAGUGACUCUCUGGAUCAGGACCCUCACGCUGAGAAUAUGGCUUGCCAAAUCAUGUUCAGGUAUAGACUUAAGAUCUGAACUUCAGUCACUUUAGUGUUUUUUGUGAGUUUACAAUAUUUGGUUUAGCCUCGGUCACUAGCUCCCAUUUACAAUCAUUCACAAUGAAUGCAUCCGUAUCUGCCUGUCUGCUCUACAUAAAGGCCAUGCAAGUUAAUUUUGAGUUGUUUUUCUGUAAGCCUUCUACCAACAGAAAAGGAACAUGUAUUAAUUUGCAUGGCCUGUGUUUGGAAUAGAACCAUGUGGAGUUGGCAGUAUUCAUUUUGAGAGCAUGUGGUUGGGCUUUUAAAGUAGCUUGUAGAGGCACGCAACGAGAAAUUGUGAAGCUUCGGGCAAACCAUUUCCUCCUUCAAUGCUUCCUGCGUGACAAGAAGAACAACAUGUUUUACAACACUGGAUUUAGGGACUACAGUACUCUAAAAAGUGUUUUUCUGACAUUACAGCCAACAGCCGAGACCAUGGUUAGAUGUAGUCAGGUACAGUGCUUAAACAAAACAGAUGAACACACACUUAGAGUUGGCUUUAAAGGAAUGAGAAGCUUCUGUAUUUUCCCCUGCCAGUGCUUUCACAGAUGU